GGCUGCACCACAGCCGCGCUCAUACGUUCACUUUGAAUUCUUUGACUUCAGUAUAACCCAAUUCGCGCUCGACCCGGUUGUCACGACGGAAACUUCGUCGUUAAGAUGGCAACCAUGGAGGCUGAGGUAGCAGGACCCAGCCACACCCACAGUCAGUAGACGAGGUUUAGCUGACAUCCAUUGUGACAGCGAGGAGAGAGCGAUAGAGGGAGGAAGCUGCUUGUGAGCGCGACAGGAGGGAGGAUAUCAUCUUUCUGGAUUUGGAGAAGCAGUACCAGCAGCAGCAGGAACAUCAGCGGGAGGAGCGGGAGAGGUGCUGAGACGUUGAGGGGAAGGCUGGGAAGUGUUCGGGAGGCACUUGGAAACGUCUGCGGAGCAUUGCCUGAACGUUGCGGGAAGGUUUGGAGAGAGCACAGCCAUGGCCGUGCAGUUGAUGCCCGAGUCCGCUGUCUGCAUGCUUAUGGCUUCCUUUGUUUCCACUGUGAAUAAGCUGAACUGUGACACCCACGGCCAUUGUUACACA
ensembl:lncRNA